rnacentral:rRNA from 1 species
AUUGAACGCUGGCGGCAGGCCUAACACAUGCAAGUCGAGCGAGCGGCGGACGGGUGAGUAAUGUCUGGGAAACUGCCUGAUGGAGGGGGAUAACUACUGGAAACGGUAGCUAAUACCGCAUACUAUCAGAUGUGCCCAGAUGGGAUGGGCUAGUAGGUGGGGUAACGGCUCACCUAGGCGACGAUCCCUAGCUGGUCUGAGAGGAUGACCAGCCAAACUAGAACGAAGACACGGUCCAGACUCCUGCGGGAGGCAGCAGUGGGGAAUGUUGGACAAUGGGGGCAAACCUGAUGCAGCCAUAACGAGUGUGUGAAGAAGGCCUUCGGGUUAUAAAGCACUUUCAGCGGGGAGGCGUUACCCGCAGAAGAGGCACCGGCUAACUCCGUGCCAGCCGCCGCGGUGAUAC